rnacentral:rRNA from 1 species
UACGUAGGGUGCAAGCGUUGUCCGGAAUUAUUGGGCGUAAAGAGCUCGUAGGCGGUCUGUUACGUCGGCUGUGAAAACCUGGGGCUCAACCCCGGGCCUGCAUCCGAUACGGGCAGACUAGAAUUCGGUAGGGGAGACUGGAAUUCCUGGUGUAGCGGUGGAAUGCGCAGAUAUCAGGAGGAACACCGGUGGCGAAGGCGGCUUUCUGGCCUGUUCUUGACGCUGAGGCGCGAAAGCUAGGGUAGCAAACGGG